AUUGAACGCUGGCGGCAUGCCUUACACAUGCAAGUCGAACGGCAGCACGGGGGCAACCCUGGUGGCGAGUGGCGAACGGGUGAGUAAUACAUCGGAACGUGCCCCGUAGCGGGGGACAACCAGUCGAAAGACUGGCUAAUACCGCAUACGCUCCACGGAGGAAAGCAGGGGAUCGCAAGACCUUGCACUAUGGGAGCGGCCGAUGCCCGAUUAGCUAGUUGGGAGGUAAAGGCUCACCAAGGCAACGAUCGGUAGCUGGUCUGAGAGGACGACCAGCCACACUGGGACUGAGACACGGCCCAGACUCCUACGGGAGGCAGCAGUGGGGAAUUUUGGACAAGU
rnacentral:rRNA from 1 species